GACAGACCUGGGAGCAGGAAAACAGCCACUGUGUAGGUGGUUUUGAAGAAACCUCCCUCUGUUUUUCCUGUACCCAGCCGGUGCAAAGAGAGGCAACCAUCUGGUGAAUUGUGGACUGGGUCGAUUCGAAAAGAGACUACUUUUUUUCUUGUUCUAAAACUGAAGUUCAGCUGGAAUUACUGAACCAUUGCUCAACACUUCUUUCAUCUUCUGAAUAUAGUCUUCUACAAGAGAAGUUAUUAAUUGAUUGGAGGAGAUGAAAGGAUCUACUAAUCUGCUGGAAUCAUAUGCAAAAUGAUAUGCUGGAGGACUUUAAAGAUCAGAAGACAAGUGACAUGCCUGUAAUCUCAGCACUUUGGGAGGCCAAG